CAUGGGGGAACCCUGAUGCAGCGACGCCGCGCUGAGAUGAAGAAGNAUCUCGCGNAUGUAAANNUCUNUCUGUUGGGGAAAAAUAUGGANCGGUUCCUGNACUAAGAAGUCCCGGCUAACUACNUGCCAGCAGCCGCGGUAAAACGUAGGUCACAAGCGUUGUCCGGAAUUACUGGGUGUAAAGGGAGCGCAGGCGGGAAGACAAGUUGGAAGUGAAAUCUAUGGGCUCAACCCAUNAACUGCUUUCAAAACUGUUUUUCUUGAGUAGUGCAGAGGUAGGCGGAAUUCCCGGUGUAGCGGUGGAAUGCGUAGAUAUCGGGAGGAACACCAGUGGCGAAGGCGGCCUACUGGGCACCAACUGACGCUGAGGCUCGAAAGUGUGGGUAGCAAACAGGAUUAGAUACCCNGGNANUCCANGGGCAAAUUC
rnacentral:rRNA from 1 species